AUCUCUCGGUCUGAUCCGGGCUGCGUAACUUCCUCUGUGUGGCUUUAACACACCAUCCCACCACGGAGCAACGGUCUUCUUAAAGCUGCCCUGAAAACUGGAGACGGAGUUAUACUGCUGAAUAAUAUUUGGAAUCUUGUGACAAAACAGGAAGAGGAUGCAGAAUUAAAGACUGUCAUCUGCUGUAAUAAUAAUAAUAAUAUAUUUAUUGAACACCUGUUUUAUGCCAGA